rnacentral:rRNA from 1 species
GUCCGUAAGGACCGGGUAUGACGGAGCGGCGAACGGGUGAGUAACACGUGAGCAACCUGCCCCACAGACCGGGAUAGCCCAGGGAAACCUGGAUUAAUACCGGAUAUCCUCUAACAACCACAUGGUUGAUCGAGGAAAUGCCUUUGUGCUGUGGGAUGGGCUCGCGGCUUAUCAGCUAGUUGGUGGGGUAACGGCCUACCAAGGCAUCGACGAGUAGCUGGUCUGAGAGGACGAUCAGCCACACUGGAACUGAGACACGGUCCAGACUCCUACGGGAGGCAGCAGCAGGGAAUCUUGCGCAAUGGGCGAAAGCCUGACGCAGCAACGCCGCGUGGGGGAUGAAGGCCUUCGGGUUGUAAACCCCUUUCAGGAGGGAAGAAAUUGACGGUACCUCCAGAAGAAGGACCGGCCAACUACGUGCCAGCAGCCGCGGUAAUACGUAGGGUCCAAGCGUUAUCCGGAAUCAUUGGGCGUAAAGAGCUCGUAGGCGGUUCAGCAAGUCGGCUGUGAAAGUCCGAGGCUCAACCUCGGAAUUGCAGUCGAUACUGCUGUGACUUGAGUCCGGUAGAGGAGAAUGGAAUUCUCGGUGUAGCGGUGAAAUGCGCAGAUAUCGAGAGGAACACCAGUAGCGAAGGCGGUUCUCUGGGCCGGCACUGACGCUGAGGAGCGAAAGCGUGGGGAGCAAACAGG